UAUGGUGGACUGGAGAGAUGGCUCAGUGGUUAAGAGCACUUCCAGAGGUCCUGAGUUCAACUCCCAGUAACCACAUGGUGGCUCAGAACCAUCAAGCAUACAUCCAGAUAGAGCACUCUCAUAUACAUAAAAUAAAUAAAUAACAUAUAAUAACAUUUUAUAAAAGAUUUAUAGCGCGCGUGUGUGUGUGUGUGUGUGUGUGUGUGUGUGUGUGUGUGCAGGCAUUUGCAGGUGCCUGGGAAGGCCAGCAGAGGGCAUUGUAGCUGGAGUUAUCGAUGGCUGUGAGACACCUACGGAUGCAGAUGACUAAGCUGAUCUUCUGGAAGAGCAGCAAGCCCUCUCAACCGCUGAGCCAUCUCUCCAGCCUGAUAAAUUUGGUUUGAGAAGUCAUUGAAGAUGCGUGUUGUGGUGCCAGUCUUUAGCCUCAGCACUCAAGAGGUGGAGGAGGCAGGUGGAUCUCUGGGAGUUCAUGGCCAGGUUGGCCUGUAUUAGAAGUUCCAGGGCUACAUAGAGAUACUCGGUCUCAACAAAAAGCACCGAGGCCCUGAAGCCAUGGCCAUGUGCAGCUCUUGCAGGGGAUGCUGGCUGGGCUCCUAGCUAUCGCAUGACUGUUUACGGCCAUCAAACUCCAGUCCCAAGGCAUCUGUUUUUUUGGUUCUUUUUUUUUUUUUUUUUUCGGAGCUGGGGACCGAACCCAGGGCCUUGCGCUUGCUAGGCAAGCGCUCUACCACUGAGCUAAAUCCCCAACCCUGUCCCAAGGCAUCUGAUGUCCUUCCUGGCCCCUGCCAGCGACACAUGCAGGUGUUAUACAUAUAUGCACGCAAGCAUAUAUGUAACCAUAUAUGUAUCCUAUAUGUAGCCAUUAUACUUUAGAGGGUCUCUACGUAGCCUGAGCUGGCUUGGAGCUUGCUAUGUAGACCAGACUAGCCAUGAACUCACAGAGAUCCGUCCGCCUCUCCCUCCCAAGUGUUGGGAUCAAAGGUGUGCACCAUUGUACCCGGCUGACUACUCUUAGGUGCAAACAUUGAUAGCAAAACGAAGCAGCAGUACUUAAAAUCCUCUGUCCUCUACCAGGUCUCAUGGUCUCCUUUGUAGAGCCACCUCCUUCUUUCCUCAAGUGGAAAUUCUAGUUUCUUUAGAAAGUUAGUUAGGUCAAAGGUGUUCUCUUGGGGGCACACAGGGAAAAGGGUGUUUUGCUCGUGCAGGUGUGGGGUGGGGGUAUAUUUGCCCGAAGUAGUCGCAGGUGGGAGGAUGUUUGGAUACAGCAGACACGUGAAAGACCCCGUGAUGGAGUAUAGAUGUGAUCCCACAGACAGUGGGAGACAUCACUGAGCCUUGGUUUGGUUUGCUCUGCCUCGCUAUUUUUUGCUAAAGACACGUAUUCCUUGGUUGUGUGCCUUGGUUCUUCCCCUCAACUUGUGGUAAUGCGGCCAUUGAGAGAAACUCUCCCAAGAGCUGCUUGUGAGGCUCCUGCAGCAGCUUACAGCUUCUGCGGCCUCGCCUCUGUCCCUUUGGCGAGCCUGGCAGUUUUCAGGAUUGAACUACAGCCGUCCCCCCCUUCCCCCACAUCCUAAUAACUUCUCUCUUCCACGACUGGAAGGUCGUGCUGGGUGGUGGGCUAGAGUAGAGGUUGAACCCGAAUUAAAAGUAGGUUGCGAGGGGUUGGGGAUUUAGCUCAGUGGUAGAGCGCUUGCCUAGAAAGCUCAAGGCCCUGGGUUCGGUCCUCAGCUCCGGGGAAAAAAAGAAAGAAAAAAAAAAUAGGUUUCAAAAAAAAUGUAUGUCUACACCAUGCGUUCUGCGUAAGGUAAGCACCCACACAGGCCGAGCUUUUAUCUGCCAGGAUUUCUAAAGAAUCUGGUCUACUCAUUGUCCUGAUAAUACUGUUGUCAUUUCUCACUUGCCUUUGUCACAGACAAGGCAGGAUUAGGAGAGCCCUAAGAGGUGUCCUGCAUUUCAGACUUCUUACCUACCCUCAGUGUUCCCACGCAGCAGUGUUCCUGUGGAGAGGAAUUCUUCCCAACGACACCACAACUCUGUUCUUGCUCUGUUGAUUCAAAGUCAUACAGAGCCCAAAGUGGUGAGGCUCAGUCCCCCUUCCAGGUCUGUAAAAUCAUUGUGUACCUCCCAGGGGGAGCAUUUCUCCCUGUCAAGCAGAACCAGAGAACAGGAAAACGUUUGUUAGGCAAUCGGUGAGCUGUGCCACUCCUCCCAAUCCUAGCUCCUCCAUCGCUCUCCUCUUCCCUGCCUUCCUUCCCUCCCUUCCCUCCACCUCAUAUAUUUAUUUAUAUUUAUUGUAUUUAUUUGAAUUUAUUUGUAUCUGUGUUUAUUUAUUUGUACUUGUGUGUGUGUGCCUUGAGUGUGCUAGGCAAGGGCUCUACCCCCGAGCUACAUUGUCAGCCCUCACCUCAGGAUCAGAUUGUAGGAUCUUUAUCAGUGUAUGCUCCAACUUUUUCUCUCAGCCUAAAGCUUUUUUGUAAACAUUUAUGUAGUGUGUGUGUAUGUGUAUAUGUGUGUUUGUGUAUGUGUAUAUAUGUGUGUGUGUAUGUGUAUAUGUGUGUAUGUGUGUAUAUGUCUAUGUGUAUAUGUGUGUGUGUAUGUGUAUAUGUAUAUGUGUAUAUGUGUGUAUGUGUGUAUGUGUAUGUGUAUAUGUGUGUAUGUGUUUAUGUGUGUGUAUACGUGUGUAUGUGUGUAUAUGUGUGUGUAUAUGUGCGCAUGUGUGUGUGUGUGUGUGUGUGUGUGUGUGUGUGUGUGUAUGCUGCACACACUGCCCAGCAGUAGAAGUCAGAAGAUAGCUUUCUAGGCUCAAUUCUGAUACUUGAGGUUUGGUGGCAAAUAUUUUUUACCCACUAAGCCAUCUCACUGGCCCCUAGACUACCUCUCUCUCUCCCCAACCCCUCUCUCUCCCCUUAUUUCUUUUUUUCAGCGUUAACUGACAUUUUUUAAUUUGCAUGCCACAUUAGCCUUCCUCUGUUCACUUCUCCUUGUUCUCCUGCCCUGCGGAUGGAGCCCAGGUUGUCUGGCAUCUGCCAGGUGAGUGCUACAGCAUGAGCCACCCCCCCUCCCGCAUAGCCUUUCGGGAGGGUUUUCUUAAAGUCUUUAAUGUUGGUUCCUGCCUUAGUUCCUAGAAACUUUAUUGUUCUACCUUUUAUGUUUAUACCUGACCCCUGAUGUCUGAUCCAUCCUGGGGUUUGGUCUGUGCCUUGGAGACAUUUCCCAGACCUCCAUUCUGACCACGACUCAAGAGUCCACAUGUGACCAGGGCUGUGUUUAAAUUCUUUAUUCUGCUCCGAGGCCUAUUUGUUUAUAUUUGUUUAUUAUCUUACCACCGGCACCAGUCUCCAGUACUGGAGGUUUACUGUAGUCAUUGAUGCGCGCUCGACCUGGAAGCCAGCCUCGCUCCCUCCAUAGAGCCUCGUGCUUACCCUUGGGCCUUGUGCUUCUACACAGACUCAGGUGUCAGCUUGCCUGCUCUGUCUGCCAGGGUUGGAAGGGAGGCACAGUGAAUUUCUAAGUGUGUUUGAGGAGCUUUAGGAGAAUGAGUCUUCUGGUCUUAGAUCAUCAGACAUUCUUCUACUUAGAUUUCCCGUAAUUCCUCCUACGAUUGUCACACAUGUAAUGGGGGAGCAGUACACAUCUUUACCCAGCAUUUUGGAGGUGGAGACAGGAGGAUUUGGAGUUUAAGAUCAGCAUAAAAUAUAUAGGCAUUUCAAAGCUAUCUUGGGCUACGCAAUACCCUGCCUCAAAAAACAAGUGUAAAUAAAUAUGUGUGUGUGAUACACACACACACACACACACACACACACACACACCUACCUUUCCUGUUUAGAGUCCAUUUCGUUUUUGUUUUGAGACAGGGCGUCACUAUGUAAAUCUGGCUGGCCUGAAACACACUAUUAGACCAGGUGGACCUCAAAUUCAGAGUUCCGCCUGCCUCUGCUUCCUCUGCUUGGCUUAAAGAGAUGCAACACCACCCUCAGCGCUGCCUCCCUCUCUCUCUCUCUCUCUCUCUCUCUCUCUCUCUCUCUCUCUCUCUCUCUCUCAAGGUAGGACCUUACAUAUUUGCCCAGGUUAGCCUUGAAUUUUACUCUGUAGCUCAGGCAGGCCUUGAACUUUUGAUCUUCCCGUGUUCAGUAGCCAAAAUGCCAGUCCUGACCUGUGAACGUGCUUUUGUUUGCAGGUUCAGUUAAGGGUUUUGCUUCCACUUUGAAGUUCAGGGGUCCACACUUAAGGGUUGACUUCAUGAGCUGGAGAGAUGGCUCAGUGGUUAAGAGCACUGCCCGCUCUUCCAGAGGUCCUGAGUUCAAUUCCCAGAAACCACAUGGUGGCUCACAACCAUCUGUAAUGGGAUCCAAUGUCCUCUGCUGGUGUGUCUGAAGACAGCGGCAGUGUACUCAUACAUGAAAUAAAUAAAUCUUUUUUUUUUUUUUUUGGUUCUUUUUUUCGGAGCUGGGGACUGAACCCAGGGCCUUGCGCUUCCUAGGUAAGCGCUCUACCACUAAGCUAAAUCCCCAGCCAAAUAAAUCUUUUUUUAAAAAAAGGGAAGGGGGUUGACUUCAUGUAGAAACUCCCCCCCCCCCAGCUGGGGACCAAACACAGGGCCUUGCGCUUGCUAGGCAAGCGCUCUACCACUGAGCUAAAUCCCCAAUCCCCAAAACUCUUGCACCAAGGAAUUAAUGUCACCAAAAUGAGGUGCUGACUGUGACACUGAGCUGGGCACAGGGAUAGAAAGGAGAUAACUAGACAGGUACUGUGUGCUGACUUUAUAGAACCAAGCCUCCCUGCUUCCCUCCCUCCUUCCUCUCUUCUUCCCUUCCUCAACUUGAGGACCAUUUCAUGAGAUUUUGAGAGAAAAACCACAGGGCAGGCAAGCUAUUUAAAAACCCACAGCUGCUGGAAGGGGGAAGGUAAUGGAGACAAAGAGGGAAAGGCAGCCCUGGGUUAGAGUCUGAAGCAAACUGCAGCCUGCUCUGUAAGGAGAGUGUAGUCUUCAGAGAAACAGGGUGGCAGCCUAAGGUGCCAGGGCAAGCAUGGCUGGAAUUUGGGAAUCCAAAGAGCCGUGAAGAAAAGCAAACAAAAGGGCCGGGGAAGUAGCUCAGUGGGUGAAAUCAUUUGCUCUACAGGCAUGAGAACCAGAAUUUGAGCCCAGCACACACAAGUAAAAAGUCUGUCAUGGUUGUGUUGUAUCUGUAACCCCAGCUUUGUGGACGAAGCCGGGUAGAUCCCAAGAUCUUGUGGGCCAGCUAGUCUAGCCAACAUGGUGAAUUUCCCAUUCAAAAGAGACCCUGUCUUAAGGCAAGAACAGAACAGUUGAGGAAGACACCAGAGUAUGCUCUGGUCUCUGCAUUUCUAGGAAUGAUUAUACAAUCUGAUCCACAUACUCAUGCUUGUGCAUGCAUGUGCACGUGCGCACACACACACACACACACACACACACACAGAUAGAGACAGAGAGACAGAAAGACAAAGAGACAGAGACAGAGAGACAAACACAGAGACAGAGACACAGAAAAACAGACAGAGACAGAGAGAAACAGAUAGAGACACAGAAAAAGACGGAGAGACAAAGACAGAAAGAGACACACAGAGAGACAGAGAGACACAUACACACAGAGAGACAGAGACACACAGGGAGGCAGAGACACACAGAGAGAAGAGACCAAAAAGUCUCUCUCCUUCUUCCUUCUCCUCCUCUUCUUCCUCCUCCUUCUCCUCCUCCUAAGAUGGCAGUUUCAUGUUCAGGUUAGCUUUGAACACAUUAUGUAGCUGAGGCUAGCCUUGAACAUCCUGAUCCUCCUGCCUCCACCUCCCAAGUGCUGGGAUUACAGUUGUGCACCACCAUGCCUGGCCCAAAAGGAAUUAUUACCAAGGGACUAGAGAUUUAGCAGCAGGAAGAAUAAAUACCUAAAUAAUAAAUAUGCGGAAACGUAUGUCCAAUAGCCACCUCUUGGAGCACUCGUUAUGUGCUAACCACUGACUUAGGUGUUAUGUGAGCCUGACCUAAUGGGAUUCUUACGACAGCCCUGUGAAGUAAGUGCUGGUAUUAUUUUUAUUUAACGCAUGAGGAAAGUGAUGCUUGGUGGUUGUGUCAGGAGAAGGUGGUCAGUCUGGAUGGUCUGAGAGGACAGGAGGACGGAUGGUCUUCUCACCAUCUUCACAAGGCACAUGCUCCUCGGUAAUCUUAACGACCUUCCCUCCACGUUUUUUUUUUUUUCUUUUUUUUUUUCUUUUAAUCUCGUUCCCAAAUCCAGAUUCUUCCCUUAGCUUCGCGAAUCUGCUCUAGGAUGGAUGCAGAGGCUCCUGUUUCCAUGGUGAUGAAGAGGCUGGUACAGCGCUCUCCAAGUGUAGGCGCUGGAGAGAAUUGUCUUAGAAUCGAAAGGUGUCGCAGCAGGGCCCUUGAGAAAGCCAAGCCUGAGACACCAGACCUCCCUGGAGCUCCAUCCAGCAGCGCCUCCACAACUUCUUCGCCCCUGUCCCGCUAACCUGGGGGACUCGAACCCUAAAAAGCAAGCAGAGUCGCCCCAGACUCAAGCAGGGUCGCAGGUCCGUUCGCUGCCAUUAGACUGGCAUUAGAGCCUGCCCCUUGGCGUUCUGACCUCUACUGAAGACCAGGCUGAGACACGCAGCCUAACGGACCAAACGACCUCUGGAUUCCGGGCUUCCAUUGGUGGACAGCCAUUUUUGGAUUACCUGGACCACAAUCUAGGAGAAAGCCGGCCAAGUCGGUAAACAAAGAGAAGAGGCCAGAGGGCAGCCGGCUCAUCGAGAAAGCCAGGGACUGCAGGGAGGUGAGGGAGGGAGGACUCUCCCAUGUCCCAGGGACAGCACAGCCCUUCUGCAUACACUGUCAACAGAGGCAUGUAGGACACCCGUCCAUGACAGAUACACUCCCCUACAGAAGCCGUACUCAUUGGGGACACUCAGGCCCCCACUUUCUCCCCACCUCUACUCAUUAGAUUCCCUCUUUGCUCUGUAUCUGCCUGAGUUUCUCUUUAAAGGCAGAGGGGUCCUCUUGUCACUAGGGACAUGAGACAGUCUUUCAAGGACUUUAGUGGGCCAUGGGCACUUUUACCUCAUUUUGGAAACAUUACAACAUUAGGGUGCCUUUGUGCCAGGACCGUGACCACUGAGACCAGCCUCUUACCCGACGCCCGACAGCUCUACGAGGUUACAGUGCGUGCCUUUUUGCUUUUGUUCUUACUCUAUAAUGAACUUAUAUACACGGUUUAUAUUUAACUUGGAGGGGAAUUCUUAAGAGCUGUACUGGCUGGCUUUGUGUGUCAACUUGACACGAACUAGAGUCGGCAGAGAGGAAGGAGCCUCCAUGAGAAGCAGCUCUAAGGCAUUUUCUCAGUUAAUGAGCAGUGGAGGAGGGCUGCUUGUGCCACUCCUGGGCUGUCAGUCCUGAGUUCUAUAAGAAAGCCCGCUGAGCAAGCCCGAAAGCCCCAACCCUCCAUGGCCUCUGCAUCGGCUCCUGCCUCCAGGUUCCUGCCCUGUGUGAGUUCCUGUCCUGACUUCCUUUGGUGAUGAACAGCGAUGUGGAAGUGUAAGCUGAAUAAACCCUUUCCUCCUCAGCUUGCUUCUUGGUCACGGUGUUUCAUCACAGCAAUAGAAACCUGACUAAGGGGGUUGGGGAUUUAGCUCAGUGGUAGAGCGCUUACCUAGGAAGCGCAAGGCCCUGGGUUCGGUCCCCAGCUCCGAAAAAAAAGAACCAAAAAAAAAAAAAAAAAAAGAAACCUGACUAAGACAGUCCCUAGAUAGAAGGGCUAUGCUGAAUUAUCUCCUGCCCUUUCCUCACCCAGGGUCUCAUGUAGCCCAGGCUGGCCUCGAAUUCUGUAUGUAGCUGAGGAUGACCUUGAAUCUCUGAUCCUCCCGCCUCUAACUCCUGUGUGUUGAAGUUAGAUGGGUGCGAGCCACCAUAUCUACUGGGAUUAGAGCCCAGGGCUUCACGAUCGCUAGGCAACCACUAUCAGCUGAGCCACAUCUUCCGCUCCCCAAUUUCAUCCUCGCUCUUACUGUUAUUUAUUAUGAGAAAGAGAACCCGAGAGAACGGUAGGUGUGUCAAACCAGCACUCAAGCCAGGAAGUUGGCAAAGCUGGAAUUUUAGAGCCAGGUUUGUCUGAUUCUGGUCAUUUUUCUUUCUUUGCUUCAAAAGCUCCUUGGGAAAAGUUCUGAGUGGGCCCACUGUUCUGCUCCCUGCCUUCUCCCACUCAGUGUUACCUAAAUACUCCUAUAGAGGCAGCUCCCGAUUCUAAGCUAGACUAUUUAAAGAGUAGAUGUAUAACUUGACUGUUCGGAAGGAAAACACAUUUUUUCCUCAGAGGGGAGAAAAGACGUUAAGUGGACCCAGAAAGGCCACUUGACCCAGACUGUGACUCACAGUGCUCCAUCUUGUCCAGGAAUCCUGGAGCACCAAAUGAUAAUACCGGGAGAAAGACACCUGCUUACAUGGAGAGAAAGACACUCUUCCUCCUCCUUCAUUCGGUGGACCUGUUUCCCACUCUGUAGAGCGCUUUGUGAAAGUGUGGAGACAAUCUUAAUGCAGGGCUGACCCCAGGGAAUACUCCUUAAGGGACCAGGGGACAAAUGGGUUAAGGUCCUAGAGUUGAAACAACUGAUGGGCAGAACCCACCCUGCUCCAUGGUGGGUGGGGCAAGCCCAAGAGUGACAGCUGUCUGCUCCUGUGAGGGGAAAAGAUGCCAAAGACCAAGCAAUGGAAGGCACAGAAGUGGGAGCGGAGGGUAAGAAGCCCCACCAUAGAUCUGAACACUGGGUCAUUAGGAAGUGGCAUAACUUGAGAGGGAUUGGGGGCGUGGCCUUGUUGGAGAAAAAACGUGUCACUGGGGAUGGGCUUUGAGGUUUGGGAUGCUCAA